AACGGCUAGGGUCAGUGCAAGUUACAAUCCCCUCGCCUUUUACUAGGGGAUUCCGUGUAUUGACCCUAUUUAUAAGCCGGUUUACCAAUCUUUCAAGUAACACUUCUUCGUGAAGU
rnacentral:snRNA from 1 species